GAUGAACGCUGGCGGCGUGCCUAAUGCAUGCAAGUCGAGCGAACAGACGAGGAGCUUGCUCCUUCGACGUUAGCGGCGGACGGGUGAGUAACACGUAGGUAACCUACCUAUAAGACUGGGAUAACUUCGGGAAACCGGAGCUAAUACCGGAUAAUAUUUCGAACCGCAUGGUUCGAUAGUGAAAGAUGGCUUUGCUAUCACUUAUAGAUGGACCUGCGCCGUAUUAGCUAGUUGGUAAGGUAACGGCUUACCAAGGCAACGAUACGUAGCCGACCUGAGAGGUGGAUCGGCCACACUGGAACUGAGACACGGUCCAGACUCCUACGGGAGGCAGCAGUAGGGAAUCUUCCGCAAUGGGCGAAAGCCUGACGGAGCAACGCCGCGUGAGUGAUGAAGGUCUUCGGAUCGUAAAACUCUGUUAUUAGGAAAGAACAAACGUGUAAGUAACUGUGCACGUCUUGACGGUACCUAAGCAGAAAGCCACGGCUAACUACGG
rnacentral:rRNA from 1 species